rnacentral:rRNA from 1 species
UGGGGAAUAUUGGGCAAUGGGCGCAAGCCUGACCCAGCAACGCCGCGUGAGGGAAGAAGGUUUUCGGAUUGUAAACCUCUGUCGCAGAAGACGAAGGAAGUGACGGUAAUCUGUGAGGAAGCCCCGGCUAACUACGUGCCAGCAGCCGCGGUAAUACGUAGGGGGCGAGCGUUGUCCGGAUUCAUUGGGUUUAAAGGGUGCGUAGGCGGCUUUGCAAGUCAGCGGUGAAAGGCCCGGGCUCAACCCGGAAAGUGCCGUUGAUACUGUGAGGCUGGAAUGCGGAUGCUGUGGGAGGAAUGAGUGGUGUAGCGGUGAAAUGCAUAGAUAUCACUCAGAACACCGAUUGCGAAGGCAUCUCACAAAUCCGCAAUUGACGCUGAGGCACGAAAGCGUGGGGAUCGAACAGGAUUAGAUACCCUGGUAGU